AGGGGGGCCCGCUUCGUUUUGUCAAUGAAUCUUAACCAAAAAGAAGAGAUAAAAGAUGGGUUGAAAAAAAAUCAGUUUAAUGACUGAAAUUGAGGAAGAAAACCAAUUUGGAGACAAGAAUAAAAAAGAUUGAAAGAUCCAAGAUGUGAAUGAUAUGAUUUAGCUCUAGAAUUUACCAUGAUCCUCCACCCAACAUUCCAUUCCAAUACCCACUUGAAUUAUGCUCUCCUUGCUCUUUGCCUUGUUCAACUCCUCCA
rnacentral:misc_RNA from 1 species